UACGAGGGGGGCUAGUGUUGUUCGGAAUCACUGGGCGUAAAGGGAGCGUAGGCGGGCGUUAAGUUAGGUGUUUAAUCCCGGGGCCCAACCCCGGACCGGCACCUAAAACUGGACGUCUUGAAUAGUGGAGAGGUCGGUGGAAUUGGAGGUGUAGCGGUGGAAUGCGUAGAGAUCUCCAAGAACACCCGUUGCGAAGGCGGCCGACUGGACACAUAUUGACGCUGAGGCUCGGAAAAGCAUGGG
rnacentral:rRNA from 1 species